UUUCCGGUGUCGGAAUGCGCCCGGCUGGCGUUGCUUGUUUUGGCAUUCGCUUCGUGGGCGGGGCAGUCGGGAGGGGCUUCGGGGGAAGUGACGUCACUCUGCCUUGCCUGCCUGCGUGGGCCGCCUGGCUCCUGGACUUGCUUUCUUGGGAAGGGAAGCCACCAUGGACUCUGCACAGGAAAGCUAUCUCUAUGGGACUGGAGGGUUCCUGAUGUGCCUUGAAGACACAUAAGAUAGAGUAACAAAGGGAUCAUCAAUCCUGGACAUGAUCCUAACCAAUAAGGAGGAGCUGAUCAUUGGAAUCAAUGCAUUCUUCACCUGAGGCAGAAAGAUGUUUUGGACCACCCCUGAUUACAUGGAAGAAAUGUGACAGUCUCUCAGUUCACCAUUCAACUGACAUGCUGAAAGAAAACAGAAGGAAAGUUGUGGGUCCAGUAACAGAAGCAAAAGCAGGUCACGGGUUAAAGGCUAGUCUGGAUGGGCCCUUAGUGUUCCUUCACUUUUGAAGUGAGACCAUGCCAUAUAUUAUGUGUGGAGAAUAAUCCAAUCCUAUCUGAUUUAUCCCACAGUUACAAGUCUAAACUACUGAUAGAUGCUGCACAUACAUACACAAAAUAUAAAGUCAUGCAUACACCAGGUAAAAGUAAGGAUUGGGAAUCUAUGUGGUUUCAAGAGGUGUUUGGAGCAACUGAAAUCUUGCUAUACUAGCAAGAACCACUAAACAAGGGCCCGGGCUGUGGCGCAGGCGGGAGAGCAAGCCAGCUGCAAUUAACUGCAACGAAUCACUCUGACCAGGAGGUCAUGAGUUCGAGGCCGCUCGGAGCCUAUGUUUGUUUGUCUUUGUUCUAUGUUAAAAGGCAUUGAAUGUUUGCCUAUAUGUGUAAUGUGAUCCGCCCUGAGUCCCCUUCGGGGUGAGAAGGGCGGAAUAUAAAUGCUGUAAAUAAAUAAAUAAAUAAAUAAACGGCUCCUAUAGAAAUGGGCAGUGAAGCUGCUACUAAUGGGAAACAUUCAUUUGAUGUAUGUGAUGGGGGAAUACUUAAUUAUAUCCAAACUAUGUGACCCCUUCUCCCUCUGGGCCAUCGAAACCUAGUAAACCCAAUUUAUAAUAAAUAAAGGAAUGAAAGGAGAACUAAAAUUCAGAUUGACUUGACUG
rnacentral:lncRNA from 11 species